GCAACUUUUUUAGUUUUUGUGAAGCAAACCAUUCUAAUGCCUCUCCACUUAGGCUUCGACUGAAGAGCCUUAUCAAUAAUUCUUAAUUUCUACCAGCGCCUAAUGUUUGGUCACAAUAUCCUCUUAAGUGGGCAGUAGGAUUUCCAGUACUAUUGAAUGUUUCAAACUUAGGAGUUUUAAAUCCCUCGGGCAAAUUCAAAUCGGGGUAGAUGCAAAGGUCAUCAUAACCAAACCUUGUUGCAUUGGGCAAACUAUAUGUUUUCUUCAUCUUGGCGAUCUCUUCUUUUAUCAAUAGUAGCUCCCUAGCAUGGUUGUCUUCAGGAACCUUAGACUCCUUUUCCAUCUCCUCAUAGUAGUCGAUUUCUGGGUUUUGGGGGAAUGCAUGGUAAGAUGUAGAUAUUAUGGUGGCUUGGAGGGUAGUGGGAAGGAUAUUUUAGGUUAGCAAAGGGUUUUGGGCAAUAUGAGUGGAGUUUUGAUAGGUGGGAAUUAAGUUUUGAGGAAUAUUGACAUUGGUAUUAAAAGUGGGAUGAGUUUUUUUGGGAAACAAAGGCAUUUGGAGAGGUAUUUUGAUAAUUUGGAGUGUAGCUUUACGGAUGGUAAGCAUUUGGAUUAUUGUCGUGGUCGGUGUUAUGAGUUUGGCGUGAUGGAUUGAUGGGAUUAAUAGGAGGUCUAGGCAUAGAAGCGGAGGGUACGUCAUUUGGUUGGUUGUCAUUGUUAGGAGAUCUAAAAUGAGGGAAUCAAAGUGGAAGCACAUGGUUAUCUAAAGCUGGCGUAUUAGGAGAAAUGGCCAAAUUAGCCAUAUCUUUUUAUCGUUGUACUUCUUCUUAAAGUUCCUCUAUUCUCCAAGUUAAUUCGGUGAUCGUCUCACCUUAUGUUGUUAUCACACCGUCCCUAACAGUAAUUUUGGUGAGAGUGUUUUCCUUGCUACUACUAGUCAUUCUUUUCUCUUCACUAGUGAAACGACGGUCAAGGGAGGAAUUUUUAUUUGCCUUAAAUCUUAUGAAGUAUUGAUGCUCCGCUGGUUUUUAUCACAGACCAAUUUCUCUUUAUCAUCUGAUAAAGAAAAACAACUCAAAGGGUAACUAUGUUAGCUUCUGUUCAUAAUAAGAAAUACAAGAUAUUUGACGAAAGGUAAACACUUAAAAGCUGCUCAUAUUAAAGGUAAAUUGAUCCACAGAUUAAGUAUUGAUAUGGAUAGAAGUUUGUGUAUUCACUUUUGGUAAAUAAUUUUGACAGGAAGGUUGACUUUUUCAAACAUAGAUUCUUCUGCUCUUGGACUUGUUGAAUUCUGAAAUCUUCACCAUAAAUGGAAAAAUAAUAUAUUUAAAAGAUAAGGGCUGAGUCUUAUGUAGGUUGCCUACGUAUCUAGCCAGGGAAUUCAGGCCCAACAUAGUUCAAGUUACAUACAGAUAAUCUCAAAGUAGUUUGAAUUACAUCAUAGUUCAAAUUAAAUAAAGGCAAAGUCCAACGUAGUUUGAAUCUAAUUAUACCUUCUCUAAAGUAGAUAAAGAGACUAGGCUCAAAAAAAUCUUCCUACGUACCCCCAUGGGAUCAAGUCUCACAUAGUUCUUGAUUACAAAGACAUCCUAAGGUGAAGUAUAAACCUAAGUUCUACCAGAGUUGCUCUUUGUUAGUUUCAAUAAUCGAGUGACAAUCCUACGCUCUCGUCACCCGGACCUUUAUCUGCUUUGGUUGUUUUCUUUAUGGAGAAAUUGUUUUUCAACGUUAGGUUUGAAACAUUAUUAAUAGACCCUCUUGCGUGAUGCUCAAAUUUUAAGGCCCUUGUAGAUACCCUAGAGACGUCAAGGAUUCCCUGAUCGAUAUUAGCAAUAUGCCUUUUCACCAAAGUUGUUUCUACAUUAAUCGUUAUGACCUCUCCGUGUAAUCUUUUUUCUCCCUCUUUCCAAUUCUGCAAAUUUCUUCCUUGCUGCAGCUAUUUUUUUUGGUUUUAGCAAUUUUCUUAACAACAAAUCUUUGGUCUCCUCAUCACUCACCAAGUGGAUAAUUGGAAUUGGUGAAGUGAUACUUCGUUCUGACAUCUUCAAAAGUCAACCUUCCU
rnacentral:lncRNA from 1 species